rnacentral:rRNA from 1 species
UACGUAGGUGGCAAGCGUUGUCCGGAAUUAUUGGGCGUAAAGCGUGCGCAGGCGGUUUGGUAAGACAGAUGUGAAAUCCCCGGGCUUAACCUGGGAACUGCAUUUGUGACUGCCCGGCUAGAGUGUGUCAGAGGGGGGUAGAAUUCCACGUGUAGCAGUGAAAUGCGUAGAUAUGUGGAGGAAUACCGAUGGCGAAGGCAGCCCCCUGGGAUAACACUGACGCUCAUGCACGAAAGCGUGGGGAGCAAACAGG